rnacentral:rRNA from 1 species
AGCUCCAAUAGCGUAUAUUAAAGUUGCUGCAGUUAAAAAGCUCGUAGUUGCAUUUCCGAGGCAAGGGAUUAGUCCGACCUUUGGUGGGUAUUUAAUCCUCUUGCCUCGUCCUUGAGUGGUGCUUCUUGGUAUUAAGUUAUCGAGGAGAUAGCCGCUCAUCGUUUACUGUGAGAAAAUUAGAGUGUUCAAAGCAGGCUUAUGCCGUUGAAUAUAUUAGCAUGGAAUAAUAAGAUAGGACCUCGGUACUAUUGUGUUGGUUUGAGAACCAAGGUAAUGAUGAAUAGGGACAGUUGGGGGUAUUCGUAUUCAGUGGUCAGAGGUGAAAUUCUUAGAUUUACGGAAGACGAACUACUGCGAAAGCAUUUACCAAGGAUGUUUUCA